rnacentral:rRNA from 1 species
GACGAACGCUGGCGGCGUGCUUAACACAUGCAAGUCGAACGGAAAGGCCCUGCUUUUGUGGGGUGCUCGAGUGGCGAACGGGUGAGAAACACGUGAGUAACCUGCCCUUGACUUUGGGAUAACUUCAGGAAACUGGGGCUAAUACCGGAUAGGAGCUCCUGCUGCAUGGUGGGGGUUGGAAAGUUUCGGCGGUUGGGGAUGGACUCGCGGCUUAUCAGCUUGUUGGUGGGGUAGUGGCUUACCAAGGCUUUGACGGGUAGCCGGCCUGAGAGGGUGACCGGCGACAUUGGGACUGAGAUACGGCCCAGACUCCUACGGGAGGCAGCAGUGGGGAAUAUUGCACAAUGGGCGGAAGCCUGAUGCAGCAACGCCGCGUGCGGGAUGACGGCCUUCGGGUUGUAAACCGCUUUCGCCUGUGACGAAGCGUGAGUGACGGUAAUGGGUAAAGAAGCACCGGCUAACUACGUG